GAGAGAACUGGAGCAUACGUCAAGAGCCAUACAGCCGUUGGAGGAGCGAGACGCCACAACAGCUACAAAUUAACCAAAAAUUUUAAAAAUAAAACUCCUCGCUUAGCUAAAGGGUUCUUUUAUACCGGCGCAAACAACGGCGACGAACUUCCAACGGCGUUUAACCUGCAGGUCACCAGUCCAAUUCAUACUGUUGUAAGUUUGAUUUUAGCAGUUUGCUGGCUAAUUGUUACUCCCCCCCCCCCAUUAAUUUAUAUCUAUCUGCCCGCGUGCGCUUUUGACAUUGGAAACUGUUUGGAGCUAAUUUUUGCCCCGCUCUCUUAGUCUUACGGUGAUAAACUGUCACCUUCCAGCUGAACUCUCCUCUGUCACCUGCAGAUUGAGAGACAGGGAUUACGCUUUCUCUUGUUUUUGGGGUUUUCCCCCUUUCUUGUAUUUUUUUUCUUCUACUUUUUUUUUUUUCCAAACACAACCAGGAGUGAAGUAGCUGUACACCGAGAAGACCUAGCUCGAGCGUCACAAAGAGAGCGGAGAGCAUCAAGAGACGGGAGGCAGGCGAACGGCGCACGGGGGGAGAGGACAACGACACGGAGCAUCCUCUCUCCUUUUUUUUUAAUUCACCAAACGCACGGACUGCUCACGCGUGGUUUAUUUACGGAAAGAGACUCAUCCAGCAUCAGCCGCUCCUCUCCAGGGAUACCUGCUUCUGAUCUGUUUGCCCCACAUAUCCUGUAAUCAUCUCCUCCACUUUGUCCUGAUGAAGGAAGCUGACGCCAUCAAACUAUUUGUGGGGCAGAUUCCCCGGAAUCUGGAAGAGAAGGACCUCAAACCCAUUUUUGAGCAGUUUGGCAAGAUCUAUGAGCUAACUGUGAUUAAGGACAAAUACACAGGGAUGCACAAAGGAUGUGCAUUUCUGACGUACUGUGCGAGAGAGUCUGCGCUGAAAGCCCAGAGCGCUCUUCAUGAGCAGAAAACACUGCCAGGGAUGAAUCGACCAAUCCAAGUUAAGCCAGCUGACAGCGAGGGUCGAGGGGAAGACAGGAAAUUGUUUGUAGGCAUGCUGGGAAAGCAACAGACCGAUGAGGAUGUCAGAAGGCUGUUUGAGCCCUUUGGCACCAUAGAUGAGUGUACUGUUUUGAGAGGACCAGAUGGCACAAGCAAAGGGUGUGCUUUUGUGAAGUUCCAAGGACAUGCGGAAGCCCAGGCUGCUAUCAACAGCUUGCAUGGGAGUCGCACAAUGCCUGGAGCGUCAUCCAGUCUGGUGGUGAAGUUUGCUGACACGGAAAAGGAGCGAGGGCUGAGGAGGAUGCAGCAGGUGGCCUCCCAACUGGGCAUCUUCAGCCCCAUGACCCUCAACUUCCCUGCCUACAACGCAUACACACAGGCCGUCAAUGCACAGCUCGUUCAACAUCAGGCCUUGGUUGCUCAGUCAGCGUACUUGUCUCCUGUGGCUACAGUUGCUGCGGUACAGAUGCAGCAGAUGGCUGCACUCAAUGCCAACGGAAUCAUUGCCACACCCAUUACACCCAUCACACCAUCUUCGGGUACAAACACCCCACCAGCUAUUGCUGCAACACCUGUGCCAGCUCUCCCCCCACCAAUUGGAAUGAACGGUUACAGCAGCGUGCCAGCUCCCACCAAUGGACAACAAACAGAAACUUUAUACACUAAUGGUGUUCACCAAUAUCAAGCUCAGAGUCCAGCAGCCUUGGAUCCAUUACAGCAAGCCUAUGCUGGCAUGCAGCACUACACAGCGGCAUAUCCUGCUGCCUACGGAUUGGUUGGCCAGCCGUUUCCUCAACAGCAAACACUAGUUGCCCAGCAACACCAGCAGCCUCAGCAACAGCAGCAACGAGAAGGUCCAGAGGGAUGUAACAUCUUCAUCUACCACCUGCCUCAGGAGUUUAGUGACUCUGAGAUGCUGCAGAUGUUCCUGCCCUUUGGCAAUGUCAUAUCCGCCAAGGUGUUUGUGGACCGUGCCACCAACCAGAGCAAAUGCUUCGGAUUUGUGAGUUUUGACAACCCAGCCAGCGCCCAGGCAGCUAUCCAGGCUAUGAAUGGCUUUCAGAUUGGCAUGAAAAGACUCAAAGUGCAGCUCAAGAGGCCAAAGGAUGCAAAUCGUCCAUACUGAGUGAAGACUGACAGGAGGAAAAACAAAUCUAGAGAAUCUUCCGUCCAAUCAUAAUUCAGAGGACCCCAUCGCUAUCGCAAUGGUUGCCUAGUGACCGAUAAAGCCCUGACCCCCCCCUUCCUCUCGCAUUGUUGUGACUUCUCAGAGUCCAGCCGGGGGGAGGAAUCCAAGGGUUCAUGGCGCUUUCAGACCGUCUGCCACCUGUGAGCGCCUGCGGAGUGCUGCCGCGCACACACUCACGCAAAAAUGAAUGCACUCUCAAUCCUGAACCUCAAGUGAUUUACAUGUACAUAAUGUGCACAAACAAAAAACAAAACAUGUGUUUCCUGAAGCCCACAUACAUAGAGUUCACACAUAUACUUUACCCAUAGAGCUAUUAGCUUGGUUUGACCAUAGUCUGUGUGGAGCAAAGUGUUUACCACAACCAAGACAAGGUAGAGUAUUGAGAAGAAAAAAAAAACCCACUGCUGAUAUUUUAUUUCAAUAGACUUUAACAUUUCUAUAUCCUGUCAAUUACAUGACAAA